UAUUGCACAAUGGGCGCAAGCCUGAUGCAGCGACGCCGCGUGAAGGAUGAAGUAUUUCGGUAUGUAAACUUCUAUCAGCAGGGAAGAAAAUGACGGUACCUGACUAAGAAGCCCCGGCUAACUACGUGCCAGCAGCCGCGGUAAUACGUAGGGGGCAAGCGUUAUCCGGAUUUACUGGGUGUAAAGGGAGCGUAGAUGGCAUGGCAAGUCUGAAGUGAAAGCCCGGGGCUUAACCCCGGGACUGCUUUGGAAACUGUUAAGCUUGAGUGCAGGAGGGGUAAGCGGAAUUCCUAGUGUAGCGGUGAAAUGCGUAGAUAUUAGGAGGAACACCGGUGGCGAAGGCGGCUUACUGGACUGUAACUGACAUUGAGGCUCGAAAGCGUGGGGAGCAAACAGG
rnacentral:rRNA from 1 species